rnacentral:rRNA from 1 species
UGGGGAAUCUUGGACAAUGGGGGCAACCCUGAUCCAGCCAUGCCGCGUGAGUGAUGAAGGCCUUAGGGUCGUAAAGCUCUUUCGCCUGUGAAGAUAAUGACGGUAGCAGGUAAAGAAACCCCGGCUAACUCCGUGCCAGCAGCCGCGGUAAUACGGAGGGGGUUAGCGUUGUUCGGAAUUACUGGGCGUAAAGCGCACGUAGGCGGACCAGAAAGUUGGGGGUGAAAUCCCGGGGGCUCAACCCCGGAACUGCCUCCAAAACUAUUGGUCUAGAGUUCGAGAGAGGUGAGUGGAAUUCCAAGUGUAGAGGUGAAAUUCGUAGAUAUUUGGAGGAACACCAGUGGCGAAGGCGGCUCACUGGCUUGAUACUGACGCUGAGGUGCGAAAGUGUGGGGAGCAAACAGGAUUAGAUACCCUGGUAGUCCACGCCGUAAAACGAUGUCUGCUAGUCGUUGGGGAGCAUAGCUCUUCGGUGACGCAGCUAACGCAUUAAGCAGACCGCCUGGGGAGUACGGCCGCAAGG